AGUUGAACUGCCAACUGCCUCAUUAAGCCGCAUCUAAAUAAUCAACAGGAAAAGCAAGGAUGAAACUGAAGCUUGUCUGGGUGGCAAGAUAGACUGGGAUGUCCAAGGGGACUGUCUGUGACUCCAUGGUAAUACUCUUACAAUGAUCCAGAAGUGCACAUUUGUUACUGGAAGAGGGGAACUGUGUGCCUCAGUCACAGAAGUGUAGGGCUGGAAGAGACCACCAGAAGUCAUCAACUCCAGCCCCCUGUACUGAGUUUAAGGAAGACUGAAGCAAAAGAGAAGACUGAGUUCCUUCCCAGUGCUCCUUCUGCAUGUCAGCUGGUAUUGAGGGCUAUCCUUGAAGUCUGAUCAGUGAAAGAUGAGAAGAGAUAGCUGUUGAUUGCUGACAUUUUAAUAAAAGCAGAAGCUGACAUUGGUGAUCCUGAAUGAGAGAGAAGGUGAAAAUGAGGUGACUGGUGAUAUAUCUGCUGGUUUACCAUCCAGUAAAAAGGCUCAGCUGACAAGCCAAGGUCUCAAGAGGUAUGGAGAGUGAAGUAACAUCUCACCAGUGCAUCUUUCUGAAGCAUGAAGCAUGGCACAUUAUAGGGACAGACUCCAACAACUUUAUUUACUGCUGCUGCUUGUUCUGGGAAAAGAACAAAUUUUAUGCACCAGAUUUAUCACAAUAAUAUAAUAUUUCAAUAUUCUUUAAGAAGAGGCUAGGAUUUCAGUCCAAAUAGAUCUUUUUUUUCUUGUAUACGGGUCAUGUAAAA